rnacentral:rRNA from 1 species
UACGGAGGGUGCAAGCGUUAUCCGGAUUUAUUGGGUUUAAAGGGUGCGUAGGCGGCAUUUUAAGUCAGUGGUGAAAUCCUGCAGCUUAACUGUAGAUGUGCCAUUGAAACUGAAGUGCUUGAGUGAUCUUGAGGUAGGCGGAAUGUGUAGUGUAGCGGUGAAAUGCUUAGAUAUUACACAGAACACCCAUUGCGAAGGCAGCUUACUAAGGAUUAACUGACGCUGAUGCACGAAAGCGUGGGGAU